GCGCCCGUAGCUCAACGGAUAGAGCAACAGGUUUCUACCCUGUUGGUUGGGGGUUCGAUUCCCUCCGGGCGCA
rnacentral:tRNA from 1 species